CCUGAAUUGGAAAAAUAUCCUGAUAGUUUUCCAGCUCAGCAGUUGUGUCUUAAAAUGUACAAUACCCAUGUCAAUUCACCAAUUCUUUAUAACCUUGCUAGUUAUUGUAACCUGCAUUAUAUGCUGUUGACAUAGCCAUUUUGCAGGUAUAAAAUGCUGUAUUGCCAUAACAAUUGAAGAAUGCAAGACAUUGGAUGUUAAUAAG